rnacentral:rRNA from 1 species
CGAACGAAGUGGCGGACGGGUGAGUAACGCGUGGGGAACCUGCCCCAUACCGGGGGAUAACAGCCGGAAACGGCUGCUAAUACCGCAUAGUAUGGGAUGGACCCGCGUCUGAUUAGACAGUUGGCGGGGUAACGGCCCACCAAAGCGACGAUCAGUAGCCGGCCUGAGAGGGCGACCGGCCACAUUGGGACUGAGACACGGCCCAGACUCCUACGGGAGGCAGCAGUGGGGAAUAUUGCACAAUGGGGGAAACCCUGAUGCAGCGACGCCGCGUGAGUGAGGAAGUAUUUCGGUAUGUAAAGCUCUAUCAGCAGGGAAGCGGUACCUGACUAAGAAGCCCCGGCUAACUACGUGCCAGCAGCCGCGGUAAUACGUAGGGGGCAAGCGUUAUCCGGAUUUUCUGGGUGUAAAGGGAGCGCAGGCGGCAUGAUAAGUCUGAUGUGAAAACCCAAGGCUCAACCAUGGGACUGCAUUGGAAACUGUCGUGCUGGAGUGUCGGAGAGGUAAGCGGAAUUCCUAGUGUAGCGGUGAAAUGCGUAGAUAUUAGGAGGAA